rnacentral:tRNA from 1 species
GGCGACGUGGCCAAGUGGCAAGGCAAGACUCUGCAAAAGUCUGAUCACCAGUUCGAGUCUGGUCGUCGCCU